GAAGGAAGGAAGGAAGGAAAGGGAGGUGGAGGAAGAAAAGUUAAGGAAAAGAAACAAAGGAAGGAAGAAAGCAAACUACCGAUAAAACCCAAACCUGUCAUGAGAAAACGAAGAGUCAGGAGAGAAGUGAUAUUUCUGAGAUCACAGAGGAAGGCGAUGACACCAUCAUGAUGACAAGUCUGGUCCUCUCCUUCCCAACUCAGGACUCCAUGUUUGAGGACAGAAGCUUCAUUAGCUCCUUCUUCCUCCCCUUCACCCCACAACGCAAGGGUGCCCAAACAGAGGCAGCAAGCUCAGGAUGUCCAAUGAAGCAAAAAGCAAGGCCCAGACACUCUCUCAGAAACCUCAGCCUAGCUCUCCAGGCACCCCCUAUCGACGGAGAGAAGCUUGUACCUAAGAGGAUAUCCUUCGAAUCGUGUCCUUCAUCAUUGACUGAUAACAUCAGUCAAAAUAAAUGUUUUACCAGGUACAGGGGGAAAAAAAAACACCACCAUCAUUUUUCUUCAUGAUGUGCAUUUCUCAGGAAGAAGAAUCCUUAUUCCAGGGUUAUCGGGUGAAGUGACCAAACUACCGAUUUAGUGAGCGACAUUUGCGUAUUUCAUCCAAGGGGAAGAAAGGAAGGGGGAGGAAAUGCACAUGUACUGAACCUGUACAUCAUGCAUCUUCCUAAGCGUUUUACAUACAGAACAGUUCAUCUAACCCUCACUACAACCAUAUAGGGUAAGUCUGUCAUCCACAUUUUACAGAGGCGGUUAGAGAAGUUAGAUAACCUGCUGCUGUCAAACAGCUAGUGGAGAGGUCUCUCUGGCUUGAAACAUGGGUCCUUUUCCAGUAUACUUUAAUUAACAGGCACAUCACAGAUGUAGUAUUGAUAAAAAACAAAAACAAAACACAAAACAGCAAGGGCUUCACGAUAGUUUUUACUAGAGAGCUCUAAAAGUUAAAAGAGCCACUACAUUCUCUUAAAGGGCCCUUCUUGGCCCAGAAUCUCUGAGUUUCACAUGGCCUGGGACCUAGAUUUCAGCUUCUUGUUGAUCCUCAAAGGACAUGAUAGUGGCUACGGACUAUCUACCUCAGGAGCACAAAAUCCUUAAGGAAAAAAAGCUGGUGGCUUUAUCAGACAAAACCCAAAGCAAUGAUCUGUUGUUUUAACUACUAAUUCUGCUAUCUGGUUUAUUUCCCUUUGGUGGCCCUUGAUGGAGAGUGUAAUAUUAAUGUAUUUAUUAAUACAUCAAUCUUGCUAUUGACAUAAUUGUAUAUUAUAACAAUAAUUACAUUAUUAUCACUGUCACUAUUACUAUAAUGUCACAGGUUGGGUUCUCCAGAAGCAUAGGUGAGAUGGAAUUUAGGGGGCAAGAUAUUUAUUGGGGAUCAACAGAUGUGAAGGGAAAAGGGGAGGAAAUAAGAUAGAACAGGGUGAAGAGCGCUCGAAAAGCCUGAGCAUCAGCAAGGGGCUCUGGAAUGAAUAUUAUCCACCAGGGUUGUCCCCUUCAGGCCAAAAUGGUCCAACCUUUAUCUAACUGCCUCAUUCAGUCACUAGAGGCUGGAUGCUCUGGGAAGAAUGUGAUGGUACAAGCUCUCUAUGGCAGAGGCAGACCCUGAAAGAGCUGAUAGCUAUAGGCUCUCUGCCGACCACACUCCUUAUAGCUGGACAGCAAGUCCUUUUUGAAGGAGGAGCCAGAUGGUACAUCUUUAUUUACCAAAACGAAUGAUACCUCCUGAUAUCUGAAUGGGGCUUUACAAUUGAUGACAUUUUCAUAUCUGUUAGCACAUUUGCUCCUUGCAAUCCAAAUCUGAACAUGAUGUUUUGUAGUAGAUUCCAUUGUUGUCCAAAAUACUUGUUCUUCCCUAUGGAAGGAUUACUUCCUCCCCUACUGACAUCAGGCUCAGUCAUGUGACUUGUGUUGGCCAGUGAGUUAUGAGUGAAAGUGAUGAGCAUCACUUCUGAGCAAAAGCUUUAAGAGCCGUUACAUGUGCUGUCAUCUUCUCUUUUUUUUCCCCUCUGCUAAGAGUCCAGGUUGUCCCACACAGGAGCUGCUCCUUCAGUUCCUGAGUAAAGGCACUGGAGCAAAAACUGCAGGCGCUCCACAAUGGACAUGAACGUGAGUGAGUUAGAUUCCUCCGUUGUCUCAAGCCACUAAGAUAUUUGGGGAUGUUUGUUGCUACAGCAUAACUUAUCCUAGCCUGACUGAGACACACUCCCAUCACUUACAAGCCCAUGCUCCUCAGCAAGGCUUUAUAUAAUCCCACCUCUGCCCGUCUCUCCAGUCUUAUCUCCCACCAUGCCUCACCUUGCUUUGUUCCAACCACAUCAAACACAUUUAUCUUCUUGAAAAGCUCCUACCCCUUCUCUAAGAUGUAGCUCAAAUAUUCUCUAUGCAAUUUUCCCUCAUCCCCUCUCCCUAGGCAGAAAUAACUCCACCAAUCUUUCUCAUUGGGCUGUGUAGAAACUAUUUUGUUAAUCCCUUCCCAGUGCCUAGAACGCUGUCAGGCACUCAGCAGGGGGUCAAUAACAUUUGUUGGAAUAAAUCAUAGUGUAUAUUGAUGUGUUAGCGUGUGCCAGGAACUGUACUAAGUGUUUGAAGAAGAUUAUUUAACUUAAAUUAAGGUAGGUAUUACUACUGUUCCCUAUUUUUUUUAAUGUUUUUAGGUUUAUCCAUUUUACUUUUUUUUUAUUUCUGUGUGUAUUCACAGUAUGACUUGUCAGUAGUAAUAAGAAUUAUAAUUAGGCUCUAAAUACAUAGGUCAUUGUUGAUCACAUAAUGAGAAGUUCCUAGAAGAGAAUACUAGGUAGGGGAAGAGAGAGAAUACCAAAA